GAAAAGAAACUAACAAGGAUUCCCCUAGUAACUGCGAGUGAAGCGGGAAAAGCUCAAAUUUAAAAUCUGGCGGUCUUUGGCCGUCCGAGUUGUAAUCUAGAGAAGUGUUAUCCGCGCUGGACCGUGUACAAGUCUCCUGGAAUGGAGCGUCAUAGAGGGUGAGAAUCCCGUCUUUGACACGGACUACCAGGGCUUUGUGAUGCGCUCUCAAAGAGUCGAGUUGUUUGGGAAUGCAGCUCAAAAUGGGUGGUAAAUUCCAUCUAAAGCUAAAUAUUGGCGAGAGACCGAUAGCGAACAAGUACCGUGAGGGAAAGAUGAAAAGAACUUUGGAAAGAGAGUUAAACAGUACGUGAAAUUGCUGAAAGGGAAACGCUUGAAGUCAGUCGCAUUGUCUGGGAAUCAACCUUGCUUUUGCUGGGCGUACUUUCCAGAUGAUGGGUCAGCAUCAAUUUUGACCGUUGGAUAAAGUCUAAAGGAAUGUGGCAUCUUCGGAUGUGUUAUAGCCUUUGGUCGCAUACAACGGUUGGGAUUGAGGAACUCAGCACGCCGCAAGGCCGGGUACUUGUACCACGUUCGUGCUUAGGAUGCUGGCAUAAUGGCUUUAAUCG
rnacentral:rRNA from 1 species